rnacentral:lncRNA from 1 species
AGUGUGAGGAGCUGCUACUGAGAUGUUUUUAGUGUCAUAUCCACACUCUCUGCACUCCAUUCUUACUGCAUGUCUGUCUGAGGUGAAGUGGAGUGAGAUGUGGUGUUUAUGCAUUAUGGAUGCACAUGUGGCAGUCUUAACUCGCUCUGUCUCUCUCUCAGAUCCGAUGGGAGAAGAACAUUACACUGGGGGAGCCCCCUGGAUUCCUACACUCAUGGUGGUGUGUAUUCUGGGAUCUGUACUGCGCUGCUCCGGACCGGAGAGAGACAUGUGAACAUUCCAGCGAGGCCAAGGCUUUCCACGACUAUGUGAGUCAACCUGUCAUUGUUGUUGUGUCAGAGGCAAAGUGGCCAUUGUCACGUGGUUGUGUGGGCUACUGAAUGUCUAACUGUUAUCAAUGUUAAUUUUGCAACAUCAAAUUGAGACAUUUGCGUACAUGAUUGUUUUGGUGGUUUUGGUCAUGAUAUGAAUGUAGUGUUGCUUGGUUUCUUACUGCAAUAGGUUAUAUCCUCCUAAGUUUAGUGAAACAGUUUCCUGGCUACCCCUCUCACUACUUCCCUGUGACCCCUGACCUCAGAGCCUUACCUAAACUGUCUGCUGAAGGUGAAAUGUCAGGCCUCUGCAAGGUUUUUAUUGGCCUUCAAAUGGUUUCAAUAAGGGUGGGAGCAAAUAAGCAACUUGGUGAGCUGUUGACCUGGAUUAAGUUCCGUCCUGGGGCCGAUGCAUGGGGCUCAAUUGGGGGUGGCGUAGGGGUCAUGGGCUUGCCUUCCCUGACCCUCUCAUCUGCAGAAGAGCUGGAUGUUCCCUGGUGCUGGAAUGAUGUGCAGCCUGAACUUGUGAACAUUUGUUGACGCCAAUCUCGGACUGCAAAUGGCCAUGUUAAUGUGCCCACUGAUUGUGACCUCUAGCUCAUUGGCGGGACUGAUGAUUUGAAGGUUAAGCUGCAGUCCCCUCGGACUUCAUCUGCCUCACUCAAGGCAAAUGAGUUUUAUUUGUUAUCACCGCCAUACCAUAGUGCAGAAUUCUCCUUUUUGGUCAUGUUUUGGCUAUGCUAAACAGUGGUAUGACAUACCCUUUAAAAUGUUUAAAGUAAGGCUUGUGCAGCUAAUCGGUUAUGUUGGUCAGACUGUAUUACUACCAGUUUGUCGUUCACCUGGCCAGUUAGGGAAGGAGCUCUAGAAAUGGAUCAUGAUGGUUCUAUUCCUGCAGGUUUCCCAGUUCUGUGCAGUUCCAUACUCUCAUUUAGUCUGACAAGUAUGAACAGACCAGACCUCCAUCAGAACAGACUCAUUUGUCGUGAGUGUGUAUUGCACAAGAUGAACCCUUUUAGAACCCAGAGCGGCCGUCGACAGCCUUUCUUAAGUUACAAUAGCUGCCGCGAACAGCCUUGUUCUUCUAACAACAAUAUCUGUGUCAAUUUCCAAAAAUAACUUGCGAGCAGCCUGUUAUCGUAUUCGCGUUUCUGUUGUCAUCAAUGAGAAACCGGAAACGGGGCUUUCAUUUGACUUUUCAAAGUGAUUUUUAAAUUGAUUUUUUACUUCAUUACUCAAUGACCGUGCCGAAGCCGACGCAGCUUUUCACUGUGAUAGAGGUUUUAUCUAUGUUGGUUGGUGAUAUGGAUUUGCACACGUCCUUGCACUUUGAAAAGCGAGAAUGUCCAGGUGAGUGAAAUAAGUAAACAGCAGGUAUAUGUUUGGUGUUGUCGACGUUCGAUGCUGUGAAACUUGGGGAAUAGCUGACAGAUUAGCAAGUCAUUCAUGCUAACUUGGUUGUUACAGGCGAGCACAUCAGCGGUGGAGCUCGAAUGAUUGAUUGCUCUGUCUCAUGGAAGUAGUUGGUGUUUAGCUGUGUAUAUAGUCUGCGAACUAGUUGGUUGUUUUGUCUCGUUUCUACUGAUGUAAUUCAAAUGGAUACGGCCCAAGCUGCGCGCUAUAGUUAGCUAGUUAAUCUGUCAGGCAAGACAAGUUGUGUGUAGCAUUACAUUUGGGCUGCGCUCACGAAGCGUCAACCUCACUCUCACUAGCUAGCCAUGCAGAUAACCAGGUAACUAGCCACCGACUUCUGGUGGGCUUAGGUUAUGGUUUGUCAUGUUUGCUAGGUGCAGAUAUUCUGAGGCUAUACAUUGCCUUGUUGUUCUAUUAUUUGACAGCUUAACUGUCAUGUUAGGGUUGAGGCCCGCACAGUGGAGCUCAUAUGAUGAGUUGGAUAUUUGUUUAUGUAACCAUCUAACAAGUUGCUUGUUUUGUCCUCUUUCUACUGAUGCAAUUCAUGUGGAAACUGUCCCAGCUUCGUAACUAAUCAGCUAACAUUGGCAAACUCUGUAGUUAGUCUGUUAGGCAAAGAAAUCAAGAGUUAAGAAAAUAUUUAGUAAAUAAACUAAAGUAACACAAUAAAAUGACAAUACCGAGGCUGUAUACAGGGGGUACCGGUACUGAGGUAAAUUAGAAAGAUGGUCUGUGUGUGCAUGGUUGAGAAAAAGAGAGGAAAAAAGAGCGAGACAGAGGGAGGGAAAGAUUGUUCCUAUAAUCGUAUCCUGGUUGUUGCUCCUCUCCCCGUGUUACUCUGUUCCUUUAGGUCAGUGAAAGAGAAGGGAGUGAUGUGGAGAGUCAGGGCUCAGCAGCAAAAGGCAGGGAGGAAGAGGAGUUGGAGAUGAUUGGAGGGAUAGAGAUGAUUGGAGGGAGAGGAACAUGGAGGAGGGAAAGGAAGAGGAGGGAGAUGACGAAGCAGAGGGAGAGCAUACCUGAGAGGGGAGCCUACGUUUCCAUGGUGUGUGUCUGCCCCAAGUCCCACCAUUCACCCUUGUGCCACACCACUUGGACCUAAAGUGACCGUAGCAGGGGUUUUGGUAGGAAUUUGUAUCUGUUCCAGAGCUUGUAAGGGAUUACAACAAGACAAUGGGGGGGGUUGACCAUCUUGACCAACUGAGGAGCUAUUGCAAUGUUGGACGCACAGGCAGAAAAUGGUGGUAGUAUGUGUUUUGAGGGAUGCACAACAUUGCCAUCAUAAAUGCAUACAUUGUGUGGGGGAGCCUGCAAAGGCCCCUUCCCAGAAACCACAGGCGCUGGGCCCUGAAGGCAUUCAAAAUGCAGCUUGUGUAUUCUCUUUGAUUUAAAAAAAAAAAAUUACCUUUUUAUUUAACUAGGCAAGUCAGUUAAGAACAAAUUCUUAUUUUCAAUGACGGCCUAGGAACAGUGGGUUAACUGCCUGUUCAGGGGCAGAACGACAGAUUUGUGCCUUGUCAGCUCGGGGAUUUGAACUUGCAACCUUUCGGUUACUAGUCCAACACUCUAACCACUAGGCUACCCUGGCAGGAAGGGGAGCCAAGUGUGUGGCACUAGGGCGUGUGGACCGAGUUGUAACUCAUUGGAAAGUAGGUGAAGUUUGAAGGGCACAAGUGUGGUGUGCAUCCGGAGUGGACGCAGGGCAAAGCGUGGGAGCUGUGUAGAAACCUCCUUUGGGAAGCUCUGUGUUCUGAGCCAUUUUGCAGGAUGGUGUUGUGCUAUAGUGUGAAAUAUGAAUUUGUCCUACAAAUCUUUUGUCACUGAACAGUUGUUGUGAUUUGUAUCUUCUCUCUUUAUCUGACUCAAUCUCAUACUUGUUGCAUUCACUGAAUUGUUGUCAAAGUAGACUACUAUCUCUUAGUGUCAGGCCUGGUCUGUACUAAAUCUUAUUGCCAGAGGUUACCUACAUUUUGAAAUCGUCUCCGAAUAGGUGUUUGCAUUUUUACAUUGUUACAGAAGUAUGAAUCGUUGUUAAUCAAUUUGUUUUUAAAUACUUUCUGAAUAUUGUCCUCUGGUCACAUUUUGGAUUAUUUAUUCAUAUGUAAAUACUUAAGUAUAAUAUAUCAUACUUGGUACAUUUUGCAUGAGUAAUUAAGUCAUUUACUACAAUUUAAAUACUCUAGUGUUUUGUGUUGUGUGUUAAUCAUUUUUUGAUAGUGAGUGUCUUUACACAAUGGAGAAAUGUGGGUUGUUCCUAUUGACAUGAAUUUGGUGUAAUAUUAAAGAAGAGGUUGUUUUCUUUAAAACUAAGUUAACAUGUAAUUGUCAUUUAUUCUUUGUUUUUGAGCCAUGUCUGUUUGUUUGAAAUGUGAAAAAAUUAGCUUUAUCUUGAAAAUUCUCAGUAAUUUACAGCAGCAUUCUAGAAUUCUAUUGGGGUCUAAAGGGUUAAUUACGUGGUUAAUUAAACCCCAUGCUUAAUUAAAGCUGACAUGUGUCCCCAAUUAAUCCACACUGAGUGUACAAAAUAUUAAGGACACCUUCCUAAUAUUGAGUUGCACCCCCCCCCCCCCACCCCACACACACUUUUGCCCUCAACAGCCUACUUCAAAUCUCUUAAUAACCGUCUUUUAUUCAAAUAAAGUAUUUGUUGUUGUGUAUUACGUUUGUUUUAUUUUAUGAAUUUAUUUUUUAAUUCCAAGUCAUCUCUAUAGAGCUGCUGCCUAAAAUCACUAUUCUGUAGUUCAAAGUAAAUAAGGCAUACUUUAAGACUGUUGAAUACCAACUGUCAAUCACUUAGAUCAUGUAUUUUCAGGUAGAGAUACUUGACGAAGCAACAUCUGCUCUCUAAAUCCCUUCAUGAUUGUGCAUUAUUCUUAGUGACGUGUAGUUCGCCAACGAUUCGCUCUUUUUGAACUACUCUUUUUUUUUUUAAUGACUUGAGUCAUGAUUUUGGUUUUCCGAGUGAUUUGUUCGUUUUAGAUGUUCAUUAGACCUGCUGGCG